CCAUCCCCAUUUCAGCCCCAGGGAGCUGGACAGACAGGGUAGGGAGUCGAACUCACCUGGGGGCAGCAGCAUGGGAGGGCCCCACUCUGAGAAGGCCAGCGUGUCCUCUUUGUCUCUUUCCCCAUACCUGGAAGCACUGUGCCCAGGUGCCAGCCCACCGGUUUCAUAUCUGCCUGUAGGCACCCUCUUGCCCAGGGCACAUGGGCCCAGGCCUGGUCAGCACAGAUGCUCUGUUUCCCCAAGAGUGGCCUGGAAGGGGCUGGGACUGGGGCUGGAGAUGGGGCUUGGGCUGGGGAUAGGGUGUGGCCAGGAAUGUGGAGUGGGCCCAGGGUCCCAGGGGCUGGGAUCUCUCUCCCUGUCCAUGGCACAUGCCUAGGCUUGGUCAGCAUGUUGAUGUAUCUACGGAGCUCAGCUGUGCACUGGGCCAUCUGCUCCGGUGUGGUAUUGUCCCCUGGGUACAAUGGCUCCAGCGGGGCUCCCCGGGCACCCAGCAGUGGCCACAGCAACAGAGCCACACAGGUGGACAGGAGCAGCAGGGAGAGGCAGCGGCAUGCGGCAGCCAUCUGAGGAGCAAGCAGAGGGGAGGUGGAGGUGGAAGAGCCCAUGCUGCAGAUUUUCCUAUGCCCUGGAAGCAGGGCCCAUCUACCCAGCCCCUUAGCCCAUCAUCCAUUUCUCCAAGCCUGGGGACGAGAGGGCAGAGAAAAGGGCCACUCCGAGCUGACCACUCCACCUCCUAGACAGUGUGCUGGAGGCACGGACAGCCUGUCCUGUGAGCAGCCCAGCAGCCAGGGCCUUGCAAGUUAGAGAAGUGUAGCACAGAAAAUGGAGACAUGAGUCCUGGAGACACAUGUCUCAUGACAUCCAGGUCCUCAUGGCUCUGAGGCAGCAGUAGCUACUGGGAAAUAAGGGCACACCAGGUCACCCACAGGGUGUGGGACAUGGAAUGAACUGGGGAAGCAAAGGACAGAAAUCCACGGCCUUGUGGGUCUGGCCCUCCACCCAACAGUAGAGACAGAUAUGGGUUCUGGAGAAGACAUCCUGCACAGACCGUGUCAUCCUGCACAGACCGGCACAGCCACUCACACAGGGACACAUUCCAGUUCACAGCUAUGCACACGAGUGUGCACACACACUUGCAGUCAUCAGAUGGCUCUCCUAGUGUGACAGGUGUGUCCAGAUGCAGAGCAAGACCCAAGCAGGACCUUAGGCCUUUGAAGGCCCCUGGCCCUGCAAAGCACGAACUCCUUCCCUCCAUCCCAGACCCCAGCCUGGGGGAGUUCUCCAGAGCCCCAAGCAGGCUGAGCCCACUUACCCAGAGUCCAGAGUAAACGGUCACUGGACCAAGCAAGGACGUGUCCCUGCCCUCAGCCGGGCCGCUUUUUCAGUCCUCAGUCCCCUAGAGUCCCCAUCUCCUGUCAGCCUCUCUCACUCCACAGCCCUUACUCCCUCCUCCCACUGUCUCCCUGGUACUCGCAACGCCACUACUGGGCCAGAGAUGGGAGGGGGACGGGAGUGCUGGGGGUGCCAGACUAGCAGCAUAGUCAAUAAAACUGGAUCACAGCAAAA
rnacentral:lncRNA from 1 species